ensembl:lncRNA
AUGGCGCGAGGGAAGCCGAGCGUGGCGGUGCCUCCCAAACCGUCCUGCGAGGAGCAGAGCCCCGGGCGCAGCCGGCUCCCCAGCCCCGGGGGCGGGCUGCGUGCUGGAAACCUCCCCGAAGCACAGCCCCUGCGGGAGGCUGGUCUGUGGAGGCGCCCGGCAGCACAUGGAGCAGCAGCAGCAUCUCGACAGGCAGACGGGGAGGAAGAGGCAGCGCUGGGGAGGAGAAGGGCAGGUUUUCGGGAGCCGGGCCUCUCCUCCGCCAGGCAGCUCGCGCUGCUGGGGGAGCGCGGCGCUCCCCGCGCCACGAGGGCUGGCGGCUGGCUCGACGCGAACAAAAGCGGAGCACUCGGUUUAACCGCAGCCACGGGAUGCUGUGGAGGCCAAGAGCACAAGCAGACUAAAAACGCAAGCCAAUUCCUGGCAGGAAGGUCUGUCGGGGCCAUUAACCGUGAUGUAACCCCCUCCGCGAUGAGAGGCCAAGCGCUACCGGCGCGACCUGCCCUCACGCCUCUCCUCGAGCACCCACCCCGGUGUCACACGUGCCUGCAGCGAUGGGGCCAGCCGCGUCUGCUUCGCAGGCAUGGGCACGGGGGGCACGGGGGGCUCCGUCCCGCUCCUCCCAGCCCCCCAAGGACCUGCAGGAGAGGGAGGCGCAGCAGGGACCUGCUGGUGCCGCCCAGCCCAGCCCUGGCCGCGGGGCCAGCUCAGAGAGCGAGCCCGUUGAGCAGAACCGGCCCCCCAGAUCCUCCGGGAACUCCCCGGGCAGCCGGGACCAAGCCCACGGCGCUGCGUUCCCUCCCGGAGGGGCCCCGGGGAAGCUUUCAGAGCCGAGCAGGACGGGCACCGCCGCUGCGCCCACCUCCGCCGGGCGGCCGGGCCCGGGGAUCGGACCCCUCCGCGCCCAACACGGCCGCGCACCCCCGGCCCCGCACCGGCCCCCCCCGGUUUCCCCCCCCCCGGGGCCUCCUCCCGUGCCUCGGGGCCUGCGGCCGGGGCCCUCCCCCGGCGGGGCCUGCACCUCCCGGGGCUGGGCGCCGCGGGGAACGGCUCCGGCUCCACCGCCGCCGCCGCCGCCACCCACCCGGCCAGGCCGCGCCGCCCCGCUCGCUCACCCACGGCGGCCGGGGCCUCGCUUCAGCCCCGCCGGCCCGGCGCGGUCAGCGGCCCCCGCCGCCGCCUCCGCCUCCCCCGGCCGCCGGCCCGCGGGCGCCCAUGCCGGGGCUGGGGGGGGGGCCCCGCCGGCCGGGCCCCGCCGCUCCGCACCGCCGAGAGCCGCAGGGACACGGGCCGCGCCCGCACGCCGGCUCCGCCCGCCGCCGCCGCACCGGGAGGGGCCGCCCCGCUCCGCCCCGACGGGGCCGGGCCUGGGCCGCCGCCGGGCCGGGAGCCCCGUGGUUUGGGUCCCCCCCACCCUGCUGCCGCGGCCCACCCGCUGCCUUCCCCUUCGUGCCAGCCCCUCCGGGCCGCUCUGCCCGGCUGCCCACCCGCCCCCGGGGCUUCCCCUCCUCUCCGCCCCCUAAGGGACCCUUCUGGCCCCGUGGCACCCACCCCACGAGCCCUGGGCGCAGCCGUCCCGCUCCCUCCUCCGGCUCUCGGCGCGGUUCCGGGGCAGGGGGGCAUUUUCCCCUUAAAAAAGCGCAUCCCGGCUCCGGCUGCUGCUCCAGCCCUGGAGGGCCUCGUAAUAAAUACCUGGGGGAGCCUGCAGCACGGCCCCGGUCACAGCUGCGGUGCACAGAAAGCAUCUUGCAGCGGGAGGCUUCCAACAGCAGGCAGAUGCCCGGCAAGCCAAACCGAGGCAGGGCAGUGCCCAUGGCUAGACGACCAAGCGGACGGGCCUUUCACCAAGGAAGGCGAUUAACUCGCAGAACAGCUCCUCUGCCGCCAGCACAGGCUGCUUCCCCCAGCGCCUCCUUGCUGGAGGCAGCUCUGCCAGGGCCCAGGAGCUUGGUGCGCAGCCCCCAGCCCCACCACCACAGCCGCUGGGAGCAGGCCGAGCAUGCAGUACGAGCCUCUCGCUUCGCACCUCCUGCUGGCUCCCUCAGGCCGCAUCCUGCCCCACACGAGCACAGGGCAGCCCCACAGCACAACCACCCCUGCGGUGAGCUGCUGCGGUGUUUGCAGAGGGGCACAGGGGGCUGCAGGGCUCAGCUAGGUUUGCCCCAACAGUCUUCCUACCCCCGGGGGGUGGCAUUGCUGUCCAGGGGGUAG